AUACAUGCAAGUCGAACGAACUCUGGUAUUGAUUGGUGCUUGCAUCAUGAUUUACAUUUGAGUGAGUGGCGAACUGGUGAGUAACACGUGGGAAACCUGCCCAGAAGCGGGGGAUAACACCUGGAAACAGAUGCUAAUACCGCAUAACAACUUGGACCGCAUGGUCCGAGUUUGAAAGAUGGCUUCGGCUAUCACUUUUGGAUGGUCCCGCGGCGUAUUAGCUAGAUGGUGGGGUAACGGCUCACCAUGGCAAUGAUACGUAGCCGACCUGAGAGGGUAAUCGGCCACAUUGGGACUGAGACACGGCCCAAACUCCUACGGGAGGCAGCAGUAGGGAAUCUUCCACAAUGGACGAAAGUCUGAUGGAGCAACGCCGCGUGAGUGAAGAAGGGUUUCGGCUCGUAAAACUCUGUUGUUAAAGAAGAACAUAUCUGAGAGUAACUGUUCAGGUAUUGACGGUAUUUAACCAGAAAGCCACGGCUAACUACGUGCCAGCAGCCGCGGUAAUACGUAGGUGGCAAGCGUUGUCCGGAUUUAUUGGGCGUAAAGCGAGCGCAGGCGGUUUUUUAAGUCUGAUGUGAAAGCCUUCGGCUCAACCGAAGAAGUGCAUCGGAAACUGGGAAACUUGAGUGCAGAAGAGGACAGUGGAACUCCAUGUGUAGCGGUGAAAUGCGUAGAUAUAUGGAAGAACACCAGUGGCGAAGGCGGCUGUCUGGUCUGUAACUGACGCUGAGGCUCGAAAGUAUGGGUAGCAAACAGGAUUAGAUA
rnacentral:rRNA from 1 species